UACGUAGGGGGCGAGCGUUGUCCGGAAUCAUUGGGCGUAAAGCGCGUGUAGGCGGCCCGGUAAGUCCGCUGUGAAAGUCCAGGGCUCAACCCUGGGAUGCCGGUGGAUACUGUCGGGCUCGAGUCCGGAAGAGGCGAGUGGAAUUCCCGGUGUAGCGGUGGAAUGCGUAGAGAUCGGGAAGAACACCAGUGGCGAAGCGGUCUGCUGGGCCGUUGCUGACGCUGAGGCGCGACAGCGUGGGGAGCAAACAGG
rnacentral:rRNA from 1 species